UGAGGCUAGAAUAACAAAAUCCCGGACGAUUUAGAAAUUCCGCCCGGACCAUUUUUAGGUUUCAAAAAGAGGACAUGUCUGGGCAAAAGAGGACGUCUGGUCACCCGACUCACACCGUUGUAGAUGAGAAGCAAGAACCGUUAUCUAAAGCACUAACGUCUCUGUCCUUACGACUUGCUCAUCAGCCACAGCUGAGACGCAAACCCUGCUUUCGAUGGUCCAAACCACUGUGAAACAAAAAGGGGGGAAGAAAUCUUUGAAACUUAAAUAGCAUUCUUUUUCAUUUAAAAUUUGCACAUGUGCUUUCAGAAUAUAUAUUUAUUUUAAAUAAAAUAUUUUAAAUAUUUAUUUUAUGUAUUUUAAAUGUGCAUAUUUAGGUGUUCAAAGAUAAGACAGCCCACAUGAACGCCCCCACCUGACGUUAGAUCCGCCCAGCUUGCUUUAAAUCUUGUCAAACUGUCAAACUGGUCCAUAAUGUAAAGUGCAACGAUUGAAGGGGAUUAAUUGAGUUUUUACAGCACAUUAUUUAUUUGUUUGCCUAUAUUUAUUUUAUUUAUUCAAUGAACUCGUUGAUUGUGGACACACUGCAACACAUGCAAAUACCAAGACCUGCUGGCUGAAAUUAUGUGGCUACACCGAAGUGUGAUCUUAUCAGAUGGCGACAAGAUAAAAAAUCAGGUUUCUCUGUCUUCUGGGUGAAUGAUGUGACUACAGCGAGGUCUCGUAACAUCACACGGCAAUAACACCCGAGCAGGAGAGACGAAUCUGAGUGUGUUUACAAACCAAUCACACUGAGUCUUCUGGGUGAAUGAUGUGAAUACAGCGAGGUCUUUUUUCACCACACGGCAAUAACAAAAACAAAAAAAAUCAGGUUUAACUAUCAAAACUGCCACCACAAUUUUGGAGGUCCCACGGAGAUAUCCAUCGUCUGUAUGCCAGUCUCAAGGUUGAUCCCUGAUUGGUCUGGUCCGGACCAACCUGAAGAUGGUUACUUUGUCUAACCACACAAUUGAUUACUGGUGGGGAGAGAUCUGCACAAUCACUAGACUCACCCAGCGACGGGAUUGUGAGCUAAGUGGUCUUCUGGGUGAAUGAUGUGACUACGGCGAGGUCGCUUUUCACCACACGGCAAUAACAUAAAAAAAAUCAGGUUUAACCGUCUUCUGGGUGAAGGAUGUGACUACAGCGAGGUCUCUUUUCACCACACGGCAAUAACAGUGCAGUAACCUGCAUAACACCAGAGCAGGAGAGACGAAUCUGUGUGUGUUUACAAACCAAUCACGCUGAGUCUUCUGGGCGAAUGAUGUGACUACAGCGAGGUCUCUUUUCACCACACGGCAAUAACAUAAAAAUCAGGUUUAACUAAUGGCAACAAAUACACAGCUUUUCUGCCAGAAGGAAAACAGAGUGCAUUUAUUGAUUGGAUUAUCAGAGAUCAAAACUGCCACCAUAAUUUUAGAGGUCCCACGGAGACAUCCAUCGUCUGUAUGCCAGUCUCAAGGUUGAUCCCUGAUCGGUCUGGUCCGGACCAACCCGAAGACGGUUACUUCGUCGAACCACACAAUUGACUACUGGUGGGGAGAGAUCUGCACAAUCACGAGACUGACCCAGUGACGGGAUUGUGAGCUAAGUGCCAAUUCUCACGCUCCAAUGUCUGCAAUGUCUCCAAUGUCCAAGGAUUUCCUCUAAAGGACAGGAAGCCAGCAACAUGAAGUGAGGUACUAAGAUGCCCAUCCUGACAAUACAGCUCUGAACCAAGCAUGGGUUAUGAAGCUGAGGAACUUCAAGGUCCUCCACAGAGCCCUGAUCUCCACCCUGCUGAACUCCUUUGAGAUGAAUUGUCAUGUUGAAUACAGAAUAGAAAUAUCAUGCCUAUUCUAAGACCUCACAGGACAGUGAGGCUAAGAGAACACCAAGGGACCACUAACCCAUUCAGAUGCAUAUGUUCUUUAAAUCCACUACAUUUCAUGAUAGAUGUAUUAUGAAGAUUUUAGGCUACAAAACAGCAAAUAAUUUGAUGUUUCCUUCAAUCAUUUUAUUUAAGAUCGGUGUUAUUUUAACCUGAGAUUCAGCACUGAGAUAAAAAAAUACUGUACCGCUGCACAUGCAGGAUGUGAGCAAUUACAAGGUGUAUGCUGUGAAUGUUAGGUAGUGUUCAAAUAUUCAUUAGUAACCUACAAGUGUUCAAAAUCAGGGCUUAGGGCUUCAGCUGCAACCAGUGCCAAAUAAAAUGUGUCUGUACAAGUGUGAUUGUCAGGUUUCCACAACCCUCUGGCCAAAUUGUGUAUUAAAAUCACAAAAAUUGCAGAUCCAAUAAAGCGUGAAGCCAGACUUCCAUCA